CGUGUAGGCGGCCGUCUAAGUCGGGUGUGAAAUCCCUCGGCUCAACCGAGGAAUUGCAUUCGAUACUGGACAGCUAGAGUGCGGUAGGGGCAAGUGGAACUCCAGGUGUAGCGGUGAAAUGCGUAGAUAUCUGGAGGAACGCCGGUGGCGAAAGCGACUUGCUGGCCCGCAACUGACGCUGAGGCGCGAAAGCUAGGGGAGCGAACA
rnacentral:rRNA from 1 species